rnacentral:rRNA from 1 species
CGGGGUGAGUAAUGUCUGGGAAACUGCCUGAUGGAGGGGGAUAAUUGCUGGAAACGGUAGCUAAUACCGCAUAACGUCGCAAGACCAAAGAGGGGGACCUUCGGGCCUCUUGCCAUCGGAUGUGCCCAGAUGGGAUUAGCUAGUAGGUGGGGUAACGGCUCACCUAGGCGACGAUCCCUAGCUGGUCUGAGAGGAUGACCAGCCACACUGGAACUGAGACACGGUCCAG